rnacentral:rRNA from 1 species
GACGAACGCUGGCGGCGUGCUUAACACAUGCAAGUCGAACGGUGAAGCGUCUUCCUUUUUGGUGGGUGUGGAUGAGUGGCGAACGGGUGAGUAACACGUGAGUAACCUGCCCCCUUCUUCUGGAUAACCGCAUGAAAGUGUGGCUAAUACGGGAUAUUCUGGGUCUGUCGCAUGAUGGGUCUGGGAAAGAUAUUGUUUCGGUGGGGGAUGGGCUCGCGGCCUAUCAGCUUGUUGGUGGGGUGAUGGCCUACCAAGGCGGUGACGGGUAGCCGGCCUGAGAGGGUGGACGGUCACACUGGGAAUGAGACACGGCCGAGACGCGUACGGGAGGCAGCAGUGGGGAAUAUUGGACAAUGGGCGCAAGCCUGAUGCAGCGACGCCGCGUGAGGGAUGGAGGCCUUCGGGUUGUGAACCUCUUUCGCCAGUGAAGCAGGCCUGCCUCGUUUGUGGGUGGGUUGACGGUAGCUGGAUAAGAAGCGCCGGCUAACUACGUG